rnacentral:tRNA from 1 species
GUCAGGAUGGCCGAGCGGUCUAAGGCGCCAGACUCAAGGUGUGAAACCUUGUCCGUACACAACGGAUGCAUGGGAAUUCUGGUCCUCUCUGAGGGCGUGGGUUCAAAUCCCACUUCUGACA